rnacentral:rRNA from 1 species
CCUACGGGGGGCAGCAGUGGGGAAUAUUGGACAAUGGGGGCAACCCGGAUCCAGCCAUGCCGCGUGUGCGAAGAAGGCCCGCGGGUUGUAAAGCACUUUCAGUGAGGAAGAACGCCUGGUGGUUAAUACCCAUCAGGAAAGACAUCACUCACAGAAGAAGCACCGGCUAACUCCGUGCCAGCAGCCGCGGUAAUACGGAGGGUGCGAGCGUUAAUCGGAAUUACUGGGCGUAAAGCGCGCGUAGGUGGCUUGAUAAGCCGGUUGUGAAAGCCCCGGGCUCAACCUGGGAACGGCAUCCGGAACUGUCAAGCUAGAGUGCAGGAGAGGAAGGUAGAAUUCCCGGUGUAGCGGUGAAAUUCGUAGAGAUCGGGAGGAAUACCAGUGGCGAAGGCGGCCUUCUGGACUGACACUGACACUGAGGUGCGAAAGCGUGGGUAGCAAACAGGAUUAGAUACCCUAGUAGUC